rnacentral:lncRNA from 1 species
AUGGGCUCACUGAGGGUGGCUCUGACAGCUGUCCCUGCCCCUACCCAGGCGACCUACCAUACACUGUCCUGGGCUGAGGCUGAGGUCUCCUGGACCCUGAGGCAGCUCUACAAACCCUUACGGAGCAUGUACAGUUACUCAGCCAGGAACCGUUCUGUGAUGGUAAGGCUACCACUUCUGCUGGUGGGAGACGAGCCCCUGGAUGUGGCCCAGGUGGUCAGUUACCUGGUGGAGGAGAAACUCCUGCGGCCACUCCGCAGGCUGUAUGAGGCUAACAUGCUGGCUGAGUUCUAUGGGUUCCAGCGGCGUCUACUGAGGAGCCCCUUCAAGCGUAAGUCCUGCCUGGCCUGUCCACCUCCUCCCUGGGAAGCCUUCUGCCUGUGGAGCGAAGGGCCUAGCAAGCCCUGUAGGGCUUGGUGACAAGCAGCCACAGGAAAGCCUGCCAAACCC